rnacentral:misc_RNA from 1 species
GUGAAAACGAACUUUGCUCAUAUGGCUGCAGUCAUUGCAGUGAAUUGAUACCUCGUGGUUGUACUCCUCAGGCAUCGGUGUGCACUCGAUCUCCAUUUUCAGCAAUGCCCAGCUUGCAGACAUGUUCACAACUGUUUUCAAGCAGAUAGGACAACGGUAUUGAUUCUUUGAUUGCAUCUCGCUGAAGCACUCCAAAUGUAUUGUGUGAC